rnacentral:rRNA from 1 species
UACGAAGGGGGCUAGCGUUGCUCGGAAUGACUGGGCGUAAAGGGCGCGUAGGCGGAUGGUACAGUCAGAUGUGAAAUUCCUGGGCUUAACCUGGGGGGCUGCAUUUGAUACGUAUUGUCUAGAGUGAGGAAGAGGGUCGUGGAAUUCCCAGUGUAGAGGUGAAAUUCGUAGAUAUUGGGAAGAACACCGGUGGCGAAGGCGGCGACCUGGUCCUUGACUGACGCUGAGGCGCGAAAGCGUGGGGAGCAAACAGG